UCGGGAAUCGUCUAAGGGUAGGACAACGGUUUCUGGUACCGUCAAUCAAGGUUCGAAUCCUUGUUCCCGAA
rnacentral:tRNA from 1 species